UACGGAGGUUGCAAGCGUUGUUCGGAAUCAUUGGGCGUAAAGCGCGUGUAGGCGGCCAAAUAAGUCUGGUGUGAAAGCCCGGGGCUCAACCCCGGAAGUGCACUGGAUACUGUUUGGCUAGAGGACGAGAGAGGGAAGCGGAAUUCCUGGUGUAGGGGUGAAAUCCGUAGAUAUCAGGAGGAACAUCGGUGGCGAAGGCGGCUUCCUGGAUCGUUUCUGACGCUCAGACGCGAAAGCGUGGGGAGCAAACAGG
rnacentral:rRNA from 1 species